rnacentral:snRNA from 1 species
AUCUCUUCUCGGCCCUUUGGCUAAGAUCAAGUGUAGCGUAGUAAAAAAGGUUUAAGAGUAGUUGCUUCUUGGUAUUGACUCUAUCAUCAAACUUUUUGUAAAGAUGUUUCCCGUUUGUCAUAACAAAUUUGCCUCUUAUGUGUAUUGUGCAGUAGUUCCUAAAUAUGUCGUGAAUAUAAA